CCUCCUAGUGAUGCUUCAUUACUGACCAUGCUAAUUCUGAUAAUUAGGUGACUGGAUAAUUCUUUUGUUAUUUUCUGAGGGAACU